rnacentral:lncRNA from 8 species
UAAAUCAUUCUCUCUACUAUUAUUCUGACAUUUCACAUUCUUAAAAUAAAGUGGUGAUCCUAACUGACCUAAAACAGGGAAUUUUUACUAGGAUUAAAUGUCAGGAAUUGUGAAACUGAGUUUAAAUGUAUUUGGCUAAGGUUUAUGUAACCUUCCGACUUCAACUGUAAUACUGUCACUUGUAGGGGUCUCUAAUGUGUUUCCUUGAAGAGGUGAGAUAAUGUUAAAAGGGGAUAAUUAUUAUCCUUUAGUUUGUUGAACUCCUGACUGUUAAAUAGGCAACAUUUGUUUUACUUGUGGUUGAGUAUAGUUGAAUUUCCACAGUCUUUGGGGAGUCUUGCCUGUUUUUAUUUAAUUCAGACUUCCCCAGAGGAAGUCAAACACUGUAUGGUAUACAUUUUUCUCUCCUUGUGGUCUCUGUUCGUCACAUACAGUAUUAAAUAGUUUGUAGCCUACAUGUACUCUGCACUGGAUUGGAUAUAUUGUGAAUGAGGUACACAAUAGUGUCUAUAACUCAUGGCCCGUCAGGUCUAACAUGGCUGCUUGUUGUGUUUCUGUGUGUUUCAGGACUGAACCCGCUAUCCUUUGACCCGUCCUCCAACAACGAGCCCCUGCAGUUCAGCAACUCCAACGGGCCACUGGUGUCAGACUGUCCUCUGGAAAACGGAGCUGAGAACCGCAAUAAGAGGAAGAGACCCAGCCUGCCUCCAGGGUGCUACUGGACCACCUGAUGCAGGACAUUGGAGCACUGUAAUGCUGUGAUAUAUGCUGAGUAUACCAAACAUCAAUUCAUCUGGGCAUGGACUCUACAAGGUGUCGAAAACGUGGCCCAUGUUGACUCCAAUGCUUCCCACAAGGAGCAAAUGUCCUUUGGGUGGUAGACCAUUCUUGAUACACACAGGAAACUGUUGAGUGUGAGCAGCAUUGCAGUUCUUGACAAAAAACGGUGUGCCUGGCAGCUAUUACCAUUACCCCGUUGAAAGGCACUUAUAUUUUGUCUUGACCAUACACAAUCCAUGCGUCAAUUGUCUCAAGGCUUAAAAAUAUUUAUUUAUCCUGUCUCCUCCCCUUCAUCUACACUGAUUGAAGUGGAUUUAACAAGUGACAUCAAUAAGGGAUUACAGCUUUCAAUCUGUCAUCGAAAGAGCAGGUGUUCUUAAUGUUUUGUGUACUCAGUGUAUUGUACUGGGUGACUGGGCCACUAUGCCACUGGGAGAGUGCUAUAGGAUUGUCUUACUGGAAUUAUGCGUUCUCAGUUUUCACUCCAGCCAGCUUUAGCAAGCAUCUGGUCAGCAGACUGUGGUAAAACCAGAGGACAGUGUUUUGGCUAUAAGGCAUCGGAGACCUACUGCAUUGUGCUUGUUAUACGCUGUUAAGCCACACUUACGCUGUUAAGCCACACUUAAUAAUGGUUGAACAAAGGUUCUGUCUUUUGAUAUUGAAUUUGAUAUUGCGGGACUUUUUCUCCCUCUCUACUCUUUAACUACAGCUACUCCCAAUGUGUCAUGCACUGAAAAGGAUCCUCUGCAGUGAUUUCAGAUUGUGUGCAUGUCCAAACAUGAGGUGACUGGAUAAUGUGUUUAUCUGUCUCUGACUAGCCCUGUGGCCUUCUGUUAUUGCCUAAUGGUGCACGGAACACCCAUUAGCUAUGAGACCAUAGACAGUGCACUUUCAUCCCAACUACCUGCACACCAUGUACCAUAGAGCCCAUCUAAUAGAUGUUUAUGGUAUCUUGUAAAGUAGUCCAAGUGUGAUGCAGGAAAUUAAGCCAUGACCCCCCACUGUGUUCCCCACUCAGGAGACACACUGGCCUCUAAUGCAUCAUAUGCACACACUUAGAGAUGCUUCAUAGAUCUGCUAUGAGUCUCAAGUAGACCACAGUGUUGCAUGCAGUGAAUCAAUGUCUUAGGCAGGAUCACAUUUCUCAUGCCUGUUUUUCAAUAUGUAUUUUCCCUCCCAACUCCAGUGGACUGGAGGAGAGCCGAGAAACAGACACUCGAUAUGAGGUGAAUGUAUCAGAUAGAAACUAAACCUGUACUGUAGCAGGCUAGCAGCCAUGUCACCAUGUAAAGGUAGAAAAGUGUGGCAGACAAGGGCAGUGGAAGGGCUGUAGGACUAAACUUUAUUCACAUUCACCUCAAAUCCUCCUUGACAAGAGAUGUACACAGCUGUCUAUCAACGCUUCAUAACCUUUCACUGCAUCUUUGAAUUGCUGGAGGCUUCAUGUUUAACUGGCCAAAAACUCUAGCUUUAAAAACAUGUGUUUACAAAAAGUUAUCUUUGAUCAUUGAUUUAGAUCAAGCUGUGUCAAUCUGUUGGUGUUGUGAAAUAUCAAUGGAUCUGUUUACUCUAAAAGCGCCAAUUUGGAGACAAUAAGUGAAACACUAUACAGUUGAAGUCGGAAGUUUACAUACACUUAGGUUGGAGUCAUUUAAACUCGUUUUUCAACCACUCCACAAAUUUCUUGUUAACAAACUAUACUUUUGCGAAGUCGUUUAGGACAUGUACUUUGUGCAUGACACAAGUAAUUUUUCCAACAAUUGUUUACAGACAGAUUAUUUCACUUAUAAUUCCCUGUAUCACAAUUCCAGUGGGUCAGAAGUUUACAUACACUAAGUUGACUGUGCCUUUAAACAAUUUGGAAAAUUCCAGAAAAUUAUGUCAUGGCUUUAGAAGCUUCUGAUAGGCUUAUUGACAUUAUUUGAGUCAAUUGGAGGUGUACCUGUGGAUGUAUUUCAAGGCCUACCUUCAAACUCAGUGCCUCUUUGUUUGACAUCAUGGGAAAAUCUGGUUCAAAAGUCUGGUUCAUCCUUGGGAGCAAUUUCCAAACGCCUGAAGGUUACCAUGCUUAUCUGUACAAACAAUAUUACGCAAGUAUAAAAACCAUGGGACCACGUAGCUGUCAUACUGCUCAGGAAGGAGACGCGUUCUGUCUCCUAGAGAUGAACGUACUUUGGUGCGAAAAGUGCAAAUCAAUCCCAGAACAACAGCAAAGGACCUUGUGAAGAUGGUCUGAAACUCAACUCUCAAACCUACUGCCAGUUUCUGGAAGAUACUUUCUUCAAGCAGUGGUACAGGAAGAAGU